rnacentral:rRNA from 1 species
GACGAACGCUGGCGGCGUGCUUAACACAUGCAAGUCGAACGGAAAGGCCCUGCUUUUGUGGGGUGCUCGAGUGGCGAACGGGUGAGUAACACGUGAGUAACCUGCCCUUGACUUUGGGAUAACUUCAGGAAACUGGGGCUACUACCGGAUAGGAGCUCCUGCUGCAUGGUGGGGGUUGGAAAGUUUCGGCGGUUGGGGAUGGACUCGCGGCUUAUCAGCUUGUUGGUGGGGUAGUGGCUUACCAAGGCUUUGACGGGUAGCCGGCCUGAGAGGGUGACCGGCCACAUUGGGACUGAGAUACGGCCCAGAGUCCUACGGGAGGCAGCAGUGGGGAAUAUUGCACAGUGGGCGGAAGCCUGAUGCAGCGACGCCGCGUGCGGGAUGACGGCCUUCGGGUUGUAAACCGCUUUGGCCUGUGACGAAGCGUGAGUGACGGUAAUGGGUAAAGAAGCACCGGCUAACUACGUG